GCCAGUGUAGUUCAACGGUAGAACGAGGGACUCAUAAACCCUAGACCGAGGUUCGACUCCUCGCGCCGGCA
rnacentral:tRNA from 4 species